UAGCUACUCCCUCCGUUCGGAAUUACUUGUCGCAGAAAUAGAUGUAUCUAGACAUAUUUUAAUUCUAGAUACAUCCAUUUCCGAGACAAGUAAUUCCGAACGAACAGAGUAAGUU
rfam:Triticum aestivum genome assembly, contig: Triticum_aestivum_CS42_TGACv1_scaffold_622552_7DS